UACAUUGGUUGUUCCGGCCAGCUGAGAAACAGCUCCACCUCCACUGUGACCCACAAAGGUCAGAUUCAUUUGAUAGAACGCGUUGGACUUGGGCACGGUGAGACGGGAACGCCAGAAGGACAUGGGCUCGAUCCUGGAAGUAUACCAUUGUCCGGGCACGAGAUCGUGAACAAUGGCAGGUGCUUUGGCUGGGGAGCGUGCUGGUGGAAGCGAGAUUUUGGGAUCUGCAACAUGAAAGGACGGGGGACUCAUCAUCUCUCGGCACUUCCUGGAGGUGAAGGCGGGGAUGAUGAUGACGAUGAUGAUGCCCCGAGAGGAAGACAAUCCGAAGUUGCAAUUUCCGAGGCCGGUGGCAUAAGAGGCUGCUGAACUGCGGCGGUGGGACUGCUUGGGAAUGUCACAGCUGUUGGAGAGGGCAACGAACAAAAGCAUUGAAUAUGGAUUCGAUUCAGGACUCGAAGGGAGGAUCACAUUUCUCGUAAUGACAAACGUCCAUCAAUCUUAUGACAGUAAAAUAUCCGAAGAUUUUGAGCAAAACAUGGGUGGGAAUGAUAAUUCCUAUGAGCGUCUUUCCGGAACCGAAAAAGGGUAUACUUUAUGAAUGGGCAAAAAUGAAUUUGGCAGCGAUAUGGCUUUUUUCUAAUUCAUCCAAAUCCGCGGACACCAAGGAAAGACAUUUUAGCGUUGCUCUUCUUUCUGUUUGUUUGUCUUCCAAGGAAACCUUGAACCAGUAACCAACCAAAAUCCCCUCCCCCCCCAUCAAAAAAAGGGUUGGGUAUUGGCAGAUUUUAUGAGUUUGUAGGGAAGGAAAAAAAUGCCAAUAACGGGAUCAGAAUUUAUUUCUUCAUGUCUGGGGGCUCGGCGAGAAUAAAAAGGCACUUUUACAAUUUCUGUUCCAGCAGCACGAAACUCUCUUUUUAAUGGCAUGCCGAAGCAGACAGGAGCAAGUUGAGACAGAUUUUGGAUUUUUUGAGAAUUUCAGACUGUAUUAUUCCCUAUAGGCAGUUAUUUGGAGAUUGGAAGUUGCAAAUUUCGUCCUCGCCAAGCAUAUCAAACGCUGAAUGAAUAGAAAGACGACAAAAGAAACUUACCUCCAAAAUAGGCGAUCACAGAAGAGAGGAUUAAGGUUCUACCGCUCAAACAAAGCAACCGAUCCUGAACGUGACUCGUUAUUUGCUCAAUUCCCAAGAGACAAGAUUAUAUGUAGGGGCCAUCCAAUUUCUUCAAUUCCAAGACUGCCAACGACCCACAUGAUGACAACCUCCAUCAAUGCGUGAUGAGGGAUACGGCGUUACUAGCUGAUGGAUCUGACUUUAUCACCCCUUUAACUUUCGCGGGUAUCGAAUAUCAAGUCCCUCAGGGAUAUCAGACCAGCCGGAUCUAUCGGCUGUGGCUGGUUAGUAAAGACGGGGAGAGAUGGGGGCUCUCGUCAGAGGAUGGAUGAACUCGCCAACAGGCAAUACUCGAGGGUGUCAAUCACUUCGCCUGAUCUAGAUGUGUACUUGAACCUACAGUAUAUUGCAUGCAUAUAUGGCUUCCAGUCUAUCCUGCCAGCUCGAGGAAGGGUGGGAGGGAGGAAGGGGUGGGGAAGAAGGGAUGAUUUUAGUGUAAACAGAGAGUACUCUAGAACGGGUUCAACAUCGAUGACAAUGGAGAUGCAGUAAUGAAUGACAUGAUGUGUCAAGGGUUGAAAAAUCUGUUCGUUAAGCAAGUCAAUGUCGCUCGGAAGAGAUCAGAAAAAGAGCUUUUGUCGAAAGCUGGAGACUCGUUGGUUCAAUGAAAAGAUGAAAAACUGAGUCAAGACCAACGAGGAGUGGGUAAAUGAGUUUGCACUUGUUUGUAUGACUUGGAACGUCAGUCCCGCUCGCAACAUUAUGACAACUACAAUGAAGGCGAUCGCUGAGUGGAUGAGUUUAAUCCCCUAGAGAGACAUUUUCCGAACA